UAAUUACUCACUUCGUCCAACAAAAGAUGUCUCAAAUUUGUUUGGAUGUAUCUAGGCAUGAUUUAGUGUACAGAUGCAUUCAAAUUUCGUCAAAGUUGAGACAUCUUUGGUUGGACGGAGAAAAAUAUUUA
rnacentral:pre_miRNA from 1 species